AUGGCUCCAGGCGGGCACUGUUGAAAAGAAGCAGACUUUUAGCAGUAGGAAGCAGGGAGCUUGCAUCAGAGGAUCUUUGUAAAUGCCCCUCUAAAAUUAAAGUCCUCUCUAAGCUCCUUCCAGGUCUUUUACAUGCAUCGUUGGAUUGCAGUCUCAAGCCUGGGAUUCCAACGGAAUUAACGUCCAUUGAAAACUUACUGUGCUCAAGGCACAGAACGGGGUAGUUUUAUACACAUUCUCCCAUUUGGAUUUUUCAAAGACAACAUCUAAUCAUCCCCAGAGAAAUUUCAGCUGAGAAGACAGGAUGAUGAAGUGCCCUGGGGGCCAGAGUCCAGACAAGUAUUUUGGCACCUCCAAGGACUCGCAGAACACAGAGAGGAAAAGAGAGACCCUGUUAUCUUUCCGCAGGGGUGGCCGUUCAAACUCUCAGAGAUGGAAGUUAAGAUUUCCUUUGGUAUAAGUGGCAGUUUGACUGGCUGCAAGGAGAGCCUCAGUUUGUUUAAUUUGGAGUAAAAUUUUAUGAGUUAAUCUCUAGUGAGGGAAAGCAGCAGUAAACACAGAACAUACUGGUCAUUA
rnacentral:lncRNA from 1 species